GUACUCCCUUCGGCAGCACAUAUACUAAAAUUGGAACAAUACAGAGAAGAUUUGCAUGGCCCCUGCACAAGAAUAACGGGCAAAUUUGUGAAGCAUUCCAUAUUUUU